rnacentral:lncRNA from 1 species
UACUAACUCUGUGUUUGCUAUUGCAUGAUCUUUUCUCUUUGUUGUGAGUUCAGCCUCACAAUCCUAAUGUUUAUGCACUCUUUUAUAUGCUAAAUUUCCCUCUAAAAUGGCCUUCAAUUUUGGACUGGUUUCAAGCCUCCUUGAGUAAUUUUGAUUGCAUUCACGUGCUAAGUGAUUGACUCUUUCCUUGUUUCACCUUACUGAUUUCCCUAUUUCUUGGGUUGAUUUGGAAAACAUUCCUUAGACCUUCAAUUCCACUAUUUGUGACUUGGUUUGUUUGUUUAUUUAUGAAUCAGUAAUUUCGAAUCCCUGACUCCUUUAUUUAAUAUGUACUGAUUAUCUUUAUAUUCUGCAACUUUACUUUGUUUUCUUACCUUAUUUGGUUAACCGAGUAUUUCAAAGAUUCUUCCCUUAAUUAAACCCCUAUGUAUUUAACCCUAAUUGUCUACUUUGCACAAGAUGUUUACUUGAUCUCUUUCCUUAAAUGUUCUAUGUCCAUUACCGUUUUAGUUUUAACCCCUUAAUUAAAGGAAGUCUUGUACUGAUUUAAUUUUAAUUGGUACAUAGUUCCAUAUUUGCUACUAAAUUAUGAUUCUUGCCUUAUUUUCUACCUAUUUUCAAAUUAUAAUUACCAUUCUCUUUCAUUAACACAAAGACACAUGAAGACUCUCCGUUUUUUAACUCAAACUCACACUCACACUCAAAAAGCAUUCUCUCUUGUUAUUGUGGCCUGCUUUCAAGUCUUGCUACUUGCUUUUACUGUAUCUUGCCCUUUGAAACUGGUAUUUUCUUAUUUAGAUUCCAGCAUCACAACAAAGUAUCUAUUUAAUGCUUUUCCCCAUUUGUCUGCCUACUGUCGGUGUUUAGUUCGGUAUUUACUUUAGCAUGCUAUUAUUUCCUUCUGCUUGUUCUGUAUUUACUAUGCAUCCUAAACCCC